rnacentral:lncRNA from 1 species
AAUCCAACUCCUGGUUCAAAUGAAUGAGAAUUCAAAAUAGAGCACCAUUUCAGUGCCUCGUGGUGGGGCUCUCUCUGGUUGCUGCAGGUGUGGUACUGAUCUUGCAGAAGUGAUUGUUAUAGUAAAAUUUUAAACGAAGACUUCGAUAUAAAAACUUAUAGAUCCCCCAUAUUAGUCAGGCUGUAAUUUCUGAGCAACUAGCAAGUCCUGCUCAUGGAAUCAGUCAAUAGGAUAAAGAACUACACCUAUAGGUUGUUGCAAGAUAUGAAGAUUUACUGACACAGGCACCUGGGAUUGAGUCUGUGGAAGCUGUUCUUCAGGUGAUGCACAUGAGAACCUAAGACUUACAGGGAGUUGUUGAGAUGAUGAAAUAAAAAAAAUGUUGAGGUGUGCAAUAAAAUAGGGGCCAUCACUGCACCACUAGCAAGACUUUAUCUUGUCAGCCACUUGCUUGAGAGAAUAAUUCUCAUCUUACAUAGCAGUAAGAGACUCCAGCGACAAGUGCUAGAAGGAAGUAGAGAGAUAACAAAAGCUGCUCAGAGUCUCAAUGAACUUGAUUAUCUUUCUCCAGGCACAGAUCUUUCAGAAAUAGAAAAUGAGCUACUUUCUAUUGCAAGAGCUCAACUUGGAGUGGAAAAUCAAGCUAAGAGUCUGCUGGAGCAAGGUAUGGAGACCGAGAAUCCAGCUCAGGUUGAAACAGAUCUUCAGGUUUUCCAGAAUCUCAGGACUUCUAAGGAUACUGUUACCAACGUUGUGGAUUAUUGUUGCAAUGCUUUGGAAGACAGUAUCAACAAUGCAUUGGAUAUCAAAGUUUUGACUCAGUCUUUCCAGGUGACCUUGAGAAGAGAGAGGUAAGCUACCAUACCAACUCCAGAAAACACAGCAGUUUUUCCAUGCUUCCUUCUGAAUAAAUAUGAAAAAUUAUGGAUACUGUGUACUGUUUGUGGACAGGUACAGCAUUUACAAAAAGUAUGAAUCAAGAAAAAAGAUCCCUUUUCUCCCCUUUGGUUCAUGGAGGAAAUAGUUAAGGAUGGACAGCCUGAAAUUUUAUGCAUAUUUUGUAGUGCAAUUACUCUGCCACUUUCUUCUCCCUUUCAUGAAUUAGCAGUCUGUUCUAUGAUUUUGAAACAGGCAUUUGAAGGCACACCCUAAACUAAUAGGUCUUUAGACAACUUAUGGAAGGUUUUUCAGCCAUACAUUCAAAAUACCCAAGGAAACUUCAGUACAACUUGAACGGCUAACCUCUGUUCACUCCCCAUACACAGAAGAUGAUACACAACCCAUUUUCAUACUAAGAAUACUGGCUAGUUUAUGGUUCAGAAAAACCUUCAAAAGAGUCACUGCAACCAUAUGAGGCAGUUUAUCUCUCAAAAUCUCUAUCAUGAAUCUUUGAACUCAUCAACUUGUUUUUUUUUUCCCCCUGGGUGGGCAUCAUCCUUUCUCUCAUGAGGUUAAUAGGGUCAUGAAACUAUAGCAAGUAAACUCAGUGUAGCUUCCUUUGAUGCAAACCUUUCAUUAACUGUGUCAAAAAUAUGGUAACGACAAUUCAGUUGUAUGCUGUAAAAUCAGAGUACCUUCUCUUUGCUCAAGGAGAUGCAAGCCACAUGAUUGGGCCUCUCAUUGAAGGACAGUAGAGAAAUAUGGGAGUGAUGAAUUCCCUGUUUAAGGUGCACCAAUCAGUAACAAAUGUGACUGCGAGUCAGUGAUCAUUCUCCUCAACAGGUGAGCAAACUAUAAUGUCACCCCUAAAGACAAUUCACAGUCUUAUGGGGAAUGCCAUACAGCCCUUACUGACUUCAGUGGCAGAUGCAAUUGAGGCCAUAAUAAUCACCACGCUUCAGAAAGAUAUUUCUGAGUCAUUAUCUAGCCCAGGAAAGCCUGAUGUUCCUUGUUCCCUGUACAUGAAGGAGCUACAAGGUUUCAUUGCCAGAGUUAUGAAUGACUACUUUAAGCACUUUGAUUGCUUGAUUUUGUCUUUGACAACACUGAAGCUAUUGUGCAGAGAGUCAUUGAAUUUUUUUUUUUUUUGAUCAGCAAGGCCAGGCUCAUAAGACCACUUGGUGAAGAUGGGGCAAAUGUGACUUGCUACUGAUUUAGCACAGAUGCAGUCGGCUGUGGGUCCACUUAGCAGAGGAGUGCUUGAUUUGGGGAAGUCCCAUGGCAUCCUAAGGCCAUUCAAACCCCUGCUCUUCCAGACAAGUGAAUAUGUGGCCCAUUGUCUAGCAUUAGGAAUGUUACUCUAUUCACUAUCACAUUUACUUUUGUUUCACAAGAGCAAUGGUUGAGCUGAAAUUCCCAUGGCUACUUCUUCCAUAUAAAAAGGAAAGUCUUCUCUUUCACAGGGGAUCCCUGGAAGCUUAUGUUCUAUCAAUGAGAAGCAGACAAGGAAAACAAUUUUUACCAGUAUAUUCCAUUAUCAUUCUGCUGUUUCAGAAGGCUAUGGCUAAUCUUAAGUGA